CGUCCGUACUUUUUUCCUUAUUCGUCCGUCUGAUCGGUGCUCCGGACAUCUCGUAGAAUUCUAUUCGAUAGCAAACAGCCGAUACAACUCACAAACCUUCAAAUCGUGAGUUUGCAUACAUCAUUUCACUGACUUCUUUGACAGUAGGUAAAGAGAGCGAAUUCUACACCAAUUAUGAACGAAUUGUAAGGCUUGUUUUCGUCUAUUUACUUCUUAGAAAGCAGUCCCUAUUGGAAAGUGUAUAGUUUGAAUUCCUAUUCUCCUUAGUUACGCACCGCGGAUUUCUUUAUUUCUGACCCUCUCUCGUGAAAAAAAGCAGAUAGCGAAGGUGGCUGGAGCGUUGCAGGCAUAUAGAGACACUCGAACGACUCGAGUGGGUGUUCUACCCCUAGCCUGGCCCGAGGGAUAUGUUUCGCAACGAAGAAUACAAGGAUUUUCCUUUAUUUUGGUGACACUUCCUCUAAAAACUAGAGUGAAACUACAAUUACACAGCUACGAGAACUGCUGAGCAUUGAUUCCCUAGGGACAAUUUCUUCGUUGGAGAUGACAACAGUUGAUGCCUGAAAUCUAGCGAGAGAUAUUGCUUCCACUAGAUUGGGCUCUCUGUGCAAUUGGACUUUGAAUCUCAUCUCAUUCAUUGGCCAUGUCUCCGUCUCUAUCGAUAGACUGACGUUGGUUAAAACACACACCAUCCAACUCUGCUGGCUUUGAUCUGAUUACUACUAAGCUGAAACACCCGAUUUCCUGCUCCAAACCCUCACGAUGUUGGACAGAGGAGCGAGCUGAUCACAUGGAGGGUCUCGCUCCGCAUCGAUUUACCCCCUUCCACUUGCUCGCGUUGGAGUCUAUUAUCUAAUUUAGAAAGACCGUCAUAAAACGUAGCUACGCUAAACGACGAGGCGUGCGCGCGCCAUACCUAGUUGACAUUUCGAACUAAUCAAGAACAUAAAUCCAGUCAACGCUGUCACUCGGAAGCACUUCUUGAAGAUCUUCCGUUUUAGAGAAAAGACAUUUGUUGUUUUCGUCUUUCAAGAGCGUUCUGCCUUGUGUCUUCAUCGUGUGGGGAAAUUAACUUGCUAGAAACCGGAGAAGGGCAGGGUUUAGAUUAUCGACUUUACAUCCAGGCACUGAUUUAUAGCCAGAAUUAUCGAAUUUCACUCCGUUUUUUUCAAGUGUUAGUCAUCGCCUGUGUUUUUGGCGGGAAUUAAGCUAUCCUGUUGCUCUGUCGUCUCCGUUAGAUGUGAAUAUGUUGUGAUACUACGCUCCGAUUCCUAUCGCGACGUUCUCAAUUGCGAACUGCGACGUGAGAAGAUCAUCUGCAUCCGACAUUCUUCUUAGGUGAGCACUUUGGUGCUUUAUUUGAAAUCGUAAACGCCAGAUUCCGAAUGCAUGGCUGUCUGAUAAAAAAACAACUCAACGGAAUAUAUUCAAAGGAGCAACGAUCCCUGUGGUAUUAACAAGUGUCGAAUUCAAGUUGUGAUUAAAGAAAUGCUGGAAAACGACGUGUGUAUUCUGAGCAAAGAUUCUCAUCUGCCUAUGAUGUUUUGAUGCUUUUUUUUAUUAUAUACUUUCAGAAUAUCCAAUACGGAUAAAAAAUAUCUUCUGCCGAGAUAUAUGUGAAAACGACAACUACCAGUAGUAAAAUAAUUAUGUGAACUGUGAUCACCUGUAUCCUGCACAUGGGACGAAUAAUAUUGUAUAGUCUGCAUCAUGUUAACAAAAAUUGAAUGAAUUUUGGUUUUCAACAACUGGUAUGGACAGCGAUCUCUUGUGUUUAGUAAAUGGACACCUCCUUCACGGGAUUUGUAGAACAUAUUGAGGGGAUUUUAUCAUUCUUAUGCAAGCCUGUGGUAAGCAAUCUUAGUUACAACCACACGAUCUUCAUACAACGGGUGUAAACGACGACUAUUAUCUGAUUUCAAUUACUGAAGUGUACCCUAGAGUGUGCGAGUUCUCCUGACACGAAUUAGGCUAAUGACCGAGUGAUCGCAGAUGUUUAUACCCAAACGGUAAACGGAGUACUUAUCCUGUCACCCCGUCCUCUCUAUCCCCUGGUCUUUCUUAUAUGACAUCCCAUGGUUUGGAAACAAAGUGGGUUCGUUCCUCGAUUGUAGCAUAUUGACAAGAAGGAUUUCGUACUCUGUGACACUUGGUGCCACGUAACUAGUUAGCUGUUGUAACGACGAGGUUCCCUUAGCGAAAAGAGUGCGAACUGAUAAACAAUAUCACCCGAGUUCCUGCGGUAGAAAGCUGAUAUUCCUAGAUACGCAAUGAACACGUCAACCAGAGUAUCUACAUCGAUAGGUGAACAAAUUACAAUGCGGGGGAAAUAUGAGAACGCAGGCGAGAAAGUAAGGGUGAUCUGCAUUCAUUAGAGUGAUAUACCUAUUUUUAUCUGUGGUUUCCGUUUAAGAUAUCGAUUUAUCUUUUGCAAACGUGUGUGUGUGUUUUUUUCUUUGAGAAAGUAAUAAGUCAACAAUAUGGGAUCGGUGAGGAAAUCACCCAAACAUUCUGGGAGCAGUCCGGAGCAUGCGAUACCUAGCGGCAAUGUACCCAUCUUUUUGCCGGAGUGUGGACGCCUUUCACUCAUUCUCCUAGGUGUCGCCUUUAUCCUUGCCUCGCUUAUUUCUAUUGGGGUAUUCACCGAUCUGUAUAAUGUGUUCCGAUGGUGGCCCUAUGGAGCUGUCUGUUUGAUAGGAUUCGUGGUGGGAGCGGUCAUCGUUGGUCUUGGGUGCCGAUGCUGGUUGAAGGAACCGAUCAUCACAGCAUCGGUUCAGAUGAAAAUGCUCCAAGAACUCGAUCGUGCCGAGCAGGAAGCAAAACUUAAGAAACGGGAUUCGAUUAGGAGGAUUUACCACAAAAUGUCGCCUCUGAGAGGGAGCGAUCGACGGGGUCAGACCAGCAGCGUUUCUGCCGAGGUCGAGGUAUGACAUACAACUGGUCACCGAUCGAACGAUGGCGAUAUAGACUUCAUAGACACGUCGUCGACCACCAUGGCCACAAACAAUUGUCGAUCGGUGAUCGUCUUGAUAGAACAACCGCCAGAUCGCUCGUGUGCCAUUUACCAUCCGCUGAACAAUUCAGCUUCGUGAUACAGCGAUGCUGUUGUUGCAUCACCUAGAUAUCACCGGAGCGCGUCUUGGACAUGUCUUAGAAUAUCACGAUAUCCCAGAUGAUAUGUCAUAAUUGUGAUAUUGUGAAUGAAGGAUUGGGAAAUUUUUAAGUUCGUGAUUUCUCUCCUCGAAUACACUCCGAAUUAUUUCUAUGUCCAGUCAAGCGAACAACACAGUCCACAGUAAUCACGCUUGGAUAGAUGUAGACCAUAUUCUCUUGGUGCUUAUAACAGCUGUGACGCAUAAUCGUCGGGAAAAUUAACAUUUUUGCACAAAUGGGUUAACCAUGUGUAUUCUUACAGCCCAAUAAAUGAUGUACAACUCAAAACUCGUCCACAUUUAGCGAGGAUGUACUUAUAAUUACUUGUAAUUUAUAUUCAUUCUUUCAUAAGUGGAACCGAGGUUGGAACACAAAUAUUACUCUCUUUUUAAAGAAUAUAAUAUGAUUUGUAAUGGUAUUCCUUUACUUGUGUCAUCGCGUAAUGGAUAGUUGGGUUCAGUAUGCACACAAUAUGCAGCUGUUAAAAUCAAUAUCUUGCCUGUCUCGAGCUACACAUGUUUCACCCAUAUGCACUGGUUAUACUAAUAUUGCUUGUUUGAAUAAGAAGAACAAAAACUAGACAUGCUUCAUGUCUUUUAAAGGAAUUAAUCUUAGGUCGUUGACAUUUAUUGUAUGCUCUAAAAACAGGAAAUCGAAAAUAACGUAACGGUGAUGUAGGGUUACUAACAUGUUUAUCAUUCAAGGGUUGGAAUAAUUCAU
rnacentral:lncRNA from 1 species